ensembl:snoRNA
AACGAGACUAGAGUCACAUCUCAGUGUUGUCUGUCAUUGUGGUGUGCUAUGGUACUCGGAUAGUGACAACUGACCUUUAUUCACUGGCUGUUUUGCUUGUUGCAGCCAGUCACCCGGUUAGUGACAGAA